rnacentral:lncRNA from 1 species
CAAAGAACAAAUAGAAUACAAUGGGUGUAAAAAUAAAAAAAAUUUAAAAAAUACAACGUCUAGAAAGAGCAUCAUGUGUCUGGUUUUGGUCGCAUGAAAUGAUUAUCCAUUAUAAGAAGUAUCUCUGAAACUGUAAGAUUAGCUUUGGUGUCAUUGUUUGAUGCAACAGCUGAGGCCCAUUCACGCAUCUUCAUUUUCACCCACUCAAUCGCCAUGCCAUCGUCCAAGCUCGAACUAGUAGUAAUGUUGCAGUGC